rnacentral:rRNA from 1 species
CGAAAGCCUGACGGAGCAACGCCGCGUGGGGGAAGAAGGUUCUUGGAUUGUAAACCCCUUUUCUCAGGGAAGAAACCUGACGGUACCUGAGGAAAAAGCCUCGGCUAACUCCGUGCCAGCAGCCGCGGUAAUACGGAGGAGGCAAGCGUUAUCCGGAAUCAUUGGGCGUAAAGCGUUCGUAGGCGGCUGUUCAAGUCUGCUGUCAAAGACCGAGGCUCAACCUCGGGUCGGCAGUGGAAACUGGAUAGCUAGAGGUCGGUAGGGGCAAAGGGAAUUCCCAGUGUAGCGGUGAAAUGCGUAGAUAUUGGGAAGAACACCGGUGGCGAAAGCGCUCUACUGGGUCGCACCUGACCCUCAGGGACGAAAGCUAAGGUAGCG